GCCUUCGUGAUGUAAUGGUCAGCACACUGAGCCGGUAUUUCAGAGGUCCGUGGUUCGAUUCCCGGUGAAGGAA
rnacentral:tRNA from 1 species